rnacentral:rRNA from 1 species
AUGCUUGAUCUCAUUGACCGCCUCGAGUGGCAGAGUCAUAGGAAGCAGGCAGCUGACCUCCUCCCACAUACCAAGGAUGCAGUCUAUGAUGCUGAGGACCUCCUCGAUGAGUUUGAUUAUCAUGCUAUCAAGUUGGGGGUUGAGCAGAGCAAGAAUUCUGGGCAAGAUCACAUGGAAGGUGUUUUUCUACAGUUCUACAACAGUAUCAAGGAGUGUGGCCACUUCAACAAAGUGAAGGAAAUACAAGUUAAGCUAGAUCAUAUAUAUAAACAGUCCAGGGAUUUGAGCUUGCAUCAAGCACCACAGAAGUUUGACAGAUCUGUCAGGCCAGAAACAUGUUCUUUCUCCGAGGAGCCACAAAUAUUUGGUCGUGAGAAAGAACUAGAGGAGUUGGUGCAAAAGCUAGGAGUACUUGUGCGCAAGAGAGGCAGGACCGAUGGUGAAGAAAGAAUGACGGAAUUGCCUGUGUUGCCAAUAGUUGGCAUGGGGGGUGUCGGAAAGACAACUAUGGCCCAACAAAUCUGUAGUGAUGCAAAGGUGAAAGCACAUUUUGACUGCAUAAUUUGGACAUGUGUUUCAGAUGAUUUUGGCAUAAAGACGUUAGCAAGAGAGAUUUUGCAGCACUUGGGACAACAAACACCAUCUGAUAAUUUGAAUAUCCUUAUGACAAAUCUAGCUAGUUGUGUCAAGUCGAAAAAGUUCUUGCUUGUCCUUGAUGACAUGUGGGAUGAUAUCUUGAAACAAGGAGAGUCGAUAUGGAAGAGAUUUUGUAAACCUUUGGAAAAUGGCCUUCAGGGAAGUAUGGUUCUGGUCACCACUAGAUCUCCCGAGGUUGCUAAUCUAGUUGGCACCAUGAGACACUAUGAAUUAGCGGGUUUGCCUGAUGCUGUUUUCUGGGAGUUCUUCAAACUAUGUGCAUUUGGAUCCAGUAGUCCUCCCAACUACCUAGAGUUGGAGUGCAUUGGUAAAGCUAUACUCCCAAAGUUGAAGGGUUCUCCUUUGGCCGCCAAAACUCUUGGGCGCUUGUUGCAUAGGGGACUAAACACAACACAUUGGAAAUAUAUAUUGGAAAGUGAGCUGUGGCAAUUAGAACAACAUGCGACUGACAUUUUGCCUGCCCUUCGACUGAGCUAUAUGUACCUACCACCGCAUUUGAAGAGAUGCUUCUCAAUUUGUGCAAUGUAUCCCAAGGAUUACAUAUUUGAAAAGGAGGUUUUAGUCGAUAUUUGGAUAGCACAAGGGUAUGCGGAACCUCAAGAUGCAUCCUUUUGCUUUGAUGACCUUGCAAGUCGGUCCUUUUUCAGUAGAGUAUCUAAGAAGAGAGAAAAGUUUGUAAUUCAUGACUUGAUUCAUGAUACAGCACAGCUAGUCUCAAAGGAUGAGUGCUUCAUUAUAAGGCAU